rnacentral:rRNA from 1 species
AUUGAACGCUGGCGGCAGGCCUAACACAUGCAAGUCGGACGGUAGCACAGAGGAGCUUGCUCCUCGGGUGACGAGUGGCGGACGGGUGAGUAAUGUCUGGGGAUCUGCCCGAUAGAGGGGGAUAACCACUGGAAACGGUGGCUAAUACCGCAUAACGUCGCAAGACCAAAGAGGGGGACCUUCGGGCCUCUCACUAUCGGAUGAACCCAGAUGGGAUUAGCUAGUAGGCGGGGUAACGGCCCACCUAGGCGACGAUCCCUAGCUGGUCUGGGGGGAUGACCAGCCACACUGGAACUGAGACACGGGCCAGACUCCUACGGGAGUCAGCAGUGGGGAAUAUUGCACAAUGGGCGCAAGCCUGAUGCAGCCAUGCCGCGUGUAUGAAGAAGGCCUUCGGGUUGUAAAGUACUUUCAGCGGGGAGGAAGGCGAUGUGGUUAAUAACCGCAUUGAUUGACGUUACCCGCAGAAGAAGCACCGGCUAACUCCGUGCCAGCCGCCGCCGUAA